CCUACGGGUGGCAGCAGUGAGGAAUAUUGGUCAAUGGACGAGAGCCUGAACCAGCCAAGUAGCGUGAAGGAUGACUGCCCUAUGGGUUGUAAACUUCUUUUAUAUGGGAAUAAAAUGUUCCACGUGUGGGAUUUUGUAUGUACCAUAUGAAUAAGGAUCGGCUAACUCCGUGCCAGCAGCCGCGGUAAUACGGAGGGUCCGAGCGUUAUCCGGAUUUAUUGGGUUUAAAGGGAGCGUAGGUGGUUUGUUAAGUCAGAUGUGAAAGUUUGCGGCUCAACCGGAAAAUUGCAGUUGAAACUGGCAGUCUUGAGUACAGUAGAGGUGGGCGGAAUUCGUGGUGUAGCGGUGAAAUGCGUAGAUAUCACGAAGAACUCCGAUUGCGAAGGCAGCUCACUGGACUGCAACUGACACUGAGGCUCGAAAGUGUGGGUAUCAAACAGGAUUAGAUACCCCAGUAGUC
rnacentral:rRNA from 1 species